AACGCACGAGACCUGCGGACCUGCGGAAGGAUCAUUACAGAGAACUUGCCCUUCGGGGUAGAUCUCCCACCCUAUGUUUACCAUACCUUUGUUGCUUUGGCAGGCCCGCCCUUGGGCCGCCGGCUUCGGCUGGUCAGCGCCUGCCAGAGGAUCUCAAACUCUUGAUUUAGUGUUGUCUGAGUACUUGAUAAUAGUUAAAACUUUCAGCAACGGAUCUCU
rnacentral:misc_RNA from 1 species